AUUAAUUACUCUCGAGUUCUCAUUCUGAAAAUAGGCACAUAAUUCAAUCGCUGAAAUGGUGUAUAUGAGUUCAUCUUACCUUUGGGAGGAAAGGCACAAAUAAGUCCUCAUCCAUGGCAAGAAGGUUUAGAACCUGCAACCAUCGAGCGCUCAGUGAUUUAGUUGUGUUAGAAGGUAGGUGACUACAUAUAUUGGGCUGAACACCUAGCUUUAGUUAGUUGGCAUAAGGUGACAUAGCAAAGCUAUCUAAUAACAAGGAGGUACAAUAGUAAAUAACUGUAGAAGAAUCCUAUUGCUUAUUGUACGUGAUGUGAUAUGAAGAAGUUUUGAUCUUGUGAAUAAUAGUAGUGGAAGAUGUGAACAUGAAUUUUUGCUGUUUUUUUUCUGCGGAAUAAACCACAUAACCUACAAAGCAUUUGAUUUUAACAAGUUAUAGUAUACACUGCAACGUUUAGUAGCCAGCUAUUGUGUUUUUGUGGAAUUGCUAUCCUCUAAAUCAGAAAGUAUUUGAAUGGACAAAUAUCUAAAUGAAAAAUGCAAACGCAAUCAAAACCUAAAGAAGUACUCUUGGAAACCCAGCUUAUUCCUUCUGCAUUAAACACCGGAACAAAUGUUCAUGUUCGAGUCUGCUGUGAACCUAACUAAGAUCACCAAGAAAACAAUGAAUACAUAAUUUCCUAUCUGGCUUUUGUUGAAUCAGAAAUUCUGUAAAAGCUUUGAGAACUCAAAAUGAGAAUUCUACCAGCUUUGAAACGGUUAGGAGGCAGAUGAUUACAUACAUUGUGGCAUCAUACUAUCAGCAUAAGCACCCAAUUCCAGCUACUUAGCAUAAGAUGAUAUGGCAAAAUCAACUAAUAAGAAGGGGCUGCAACCAUAAAUAAUUGUAGAAGAAACCGGGUGUGCAAAUACGUGGGUUCAUAAUCCUAUUUGCCUAUAGCAGGUGAUGUUAUGUAUAGAAGUUUUUAUUCUGCAGGUUUUCUUUUUAUUAGAACAAACAACAGUAGCAAGAUAUUUUUCUCAUAUAUUUAUUGCUGUUGUAAGAUAAUAUAAUGACCUGAUUUUUAGCAUAAAUUACAUAAUUAGAAGGCGUAGAUGUAUCUAGGAUGUGUACUUCCUCAUGAACUAAGCUAUCUUUGCUGGAAGCACAAGUACCUAUGGGCGCCAUUGUGCUAGAUCCGUGUUAAUUUUCUUUUGCAAGGCGAUGUACUUAGGUGACAGCACGUGGAAUCACGAAUUGCACAUGGGUACGCUGAAAGAAAAGAAUUGGGAAGACAGAUGUGCACGAACCUUGUCUGAAUCUGCCUGUUUGUUGGACUCUGAGCGAUGGCUGGUUUCCAGAGGGAGAUGACCUGACUGAGCCAUCGCUUGGGCGGGCGCGUGUAGCAGAACCGAGCAGGUCCCCCCUACCGCUUGCCCUUCUCAUCGGCCUGCUCCUUCCCCCUGUCGCCGGCCUCCUCUCACUCCCCUGUCGGCGCAAGCCGGCGGCAGCCGGUGACCCUCUCCUCUUUACUUUGUUCAGACGCUGGUUCUUAUUUAGUUUAGAGGUAUGCUACCCAAAACAUAUGUUCAAUUUGGGUUAAUAGAUUUUGUAGACUGAAUUAAUGCGAUACGAAAAUUAUCCGUCACCCCGAAGGUUCUUCCCUGUUGGUUUUGAGAUUAGUAUUUUUGAUCUCUGUUUGAAAAAGAACAAACAAGAACAGACUCACUAACACCCUCAGGUUCCUCCCUGUUGGUUUCAAUAUCAGUAUUUUGAUCUAUGUUUGAAAACUAUUAGAAAAAGGACAGAUAAGAACACACUCAUUAAUACCCUCUAAUAUAUUUUUAAUUAUGAACUCAGUUAGCUAAGCUUUACAGCAUACAUUUCUAAUGGUUUAAUACGUUGUAAGAAUAUAAAACACAAAUAAUUGUCUGCUAUUCAGUUAAGGUUCAUAUACUUUGUAAUUUUCAGCUACGAUCACUUCUUAAGUAUCCACAUCUAUUGGGCGGCUUGAGAAUUCAGAUUUUUUUUCCGUAUGAAACCAGACUGGGUACAACUAAUAUGGCGCCAUCUUUGCUUCUGUCUAUGUACUUAGCCUUUCGGCCUCUGUAGCAAGUCAAAGUAGUAGCUGUUGUCCAGAUGCAUUAUUUCAUUAUCUUUGUUCAUCCUUUUGUUUGUAGUAAUUUUUUAAAAGGUAUUUUUAUUAGAGUUAACUACACAACAGCUCGAUGUCUCUAUCAAGGAAGAUUUCAGUUCAAUUUAGAUGCUUACUGAGAUAAAAUUUCCCUUUUUGAUCGACCUGACACCCAUGCCCUGUUUCUGACAAAGCAGAGAUCUUACUUCUGUCAAAGAGUAUUGUUUAUACGUGAUAAUAUCUUGGUUCUCCAUUUUCUGGCACUUUAACUAGCAGAGGUUAGCAGAUUUUUGGCUCUCUAUCCUAGCAGCUAUCUCUCGAUUCGCGGAACUAAUGAGGAUUUAAGCGGUGUAGAAGGGGGAGAUACUGCGCAAACAUAUCAGGAAAUUCAACAGGGACGUGUAAUGGGUGAUUGACAGUGCCAACAAACAUGAUGAUGCAACUAAUUCAGCUGCAUCAUUUAUACUGUCAGCCUUUGAUUAAUGUGUAUUUUAUUUUAUCUUCAUCAAGGAAACUGAUGUACUUUCCAUGUGAUGAUGUGCUUGUUUCACAAAGACUAUGAGAAUUUAUGUCAUCAAAUCAAAGAUGGCCAAUGAACUCUGUCAAUACACUUUGAUUUUUA